CUGUGUGGCGGCCCUUGAAGCCGUGCUGACUGCCGAAAGCACUGUGCGUCCGUAACAAAUUCUAUUCCGGCAUUAUCUAAACUUUCACUUCGAAUUACCUCCUGCAUCGAUUAUGGAAACCGCUGAGCAACUUCGCACCGAGGACCACGCAAAAGAUCUAUUUGAAAUAAAAGGAACGCAUCACGUUGAGUUAUACGUUGGCAAUGCAAAGCAGGCCGCGUAUUUCUAUCGGCGUGCGUUUGGUUUUCACUUGACGGGCUACAGCGGACCUGAGACGGGUGUUCGCGACAGAGCAUCAUACCUAGUGGAGCAAGGGAAGAUUCGUUUCGUUCUGACAACACCAAUGAAUCCCGAUUCGCCAAUUGCUGA
rnacentral:misc_RNA from 1 species